GACGAACGCUGGCGGCGUGCCUAAUACAUGCAAGUCGAGCGGACCAAAGGGAGCUUGCUCCUGGAGGUUAGCGGCGAACGGGUGAGUAACACGUGGGCAACCUGCCUGUGAGACUGGGAUAACAUCGAGAAAUCGGUGCUAAUACCGGAUAAUAAAAAGAACUGCAUGGUUCUUUUUUGAAAGAUGGUUUCGGCUAUCACUUACAGAUGGGCCCGCGGCGCAUUAGCUAGUUGGUGAGGUAACGGCUCACCAAGGCGACGAUGCGUAGCCGACCUGAGAGGGUGAUCGGCCACACUGGGACUGAGACACGGCCCAGACUCCUACGGGAGGCAGCAGUAGGGAAUCUUCCGCAAUGGACGAAAAGUCUGACGGAGCAACGCCGCGUGAGUGAUGAAGGUUUUCGGAUCGUAAAAACUCUGUUGUUAGGGAAGAACAAGUGCCGUUCGAAAGGGCGGCACCUUGACGGUACCUAACGAGAAAGCCACGGCUAACUACGUAGCCAGCAGCCGACGG
rnacentral:rRNA from 1 species